rnacentral:tRNA from 1 species
GGUCAUGUGGCCUAGUGGUCAUGGCAUUUGCCCGGUAAGCGGAAGGUCGUGGGUUCGAUUCCCAUCCCUUGACACU